AUUGAACGCUGGCGGCAGGCCUAACACAUGCAAGUCGAGCGGUUGAAGGGAGCUUGCUCCCUGAUUCAGCGGCGGACGGGUGAGUAAUGCCUAGGAAUCUGCCUAUUAGUGGGGGACAACGUUUCGAAAGGAACGCUAAUACCGCAUACGUCCUACGGGAGAAAGCAGGGGACCUUCGGGCCUUGCGCUAAUAGAUGAGCCUAGGUCGGAUUAGCUUGUUGGUGAGGUAAUGGCUCACCAAGGCGACGAUCCGUAACUGGUCCGAGAGGAUGAUCAGGCACACGGGAAAUGAGACACGGUCCAGACUCCUACGGGGGGCAGCAGUGGAGAAUAUUGGACAAGGGGCGAAAGCCUGAUCCAGCCAUGCCGCGUGUGGGAAGAAGGUCUUCGGAUUGUAAAGCACUUUAAGUUGGGAGGAAGGAUUGUAGAUUAAUACUCUGCAAUUUUGACGUUACCGACAGAAUAAGCACCGGCUAACUCGGUGCCAGCCGCCGCGGUAA
rnacentral:rRNA from 1 species